GCCCAUUUAGCGUAGUGGUAGCGCGUCAGUCUUGUAAACUGAAGGUCGGUUGUUCGAACCAGCCAAUGGGCA
rnacentral:tRNA from 1 species